rnacentral:rRNA from 1 species
UACGGAGGGUGCAAGCGUUAUCCGGAUUCACUGGGUUUAAAGGGUGCGUAGGUGGGCAGGUAAGUCAGUGGUGAAAUCUCCGGGCUUAACUCGGAAACUGCCAUUGAUACUAUCUUUCUUGAAUACCGUGGAGGUCAGCGGAAUAUGUCAUGUAGCGGUGAAAUGCUUAGAUAUGACAUAGAACACCAAUUGCGAAGGCAGCUGGCUACACGAAUAUUGACACUGAUGCACGAAAGCGUGGGGAUCAAACAGG